UCUCUUUUCUCUUCUGCCUCUCUUCUCUUCCUCGCAGCAGAUGAAACCCUAGUGAAAUCUCUUGAAUCUGUUUAAUAAUUGAACCCUAGUGAGUGUUUUUCAAUCUUCAAUCAUCGAACCCUAAUGAAUCGAUGAAACAAUAGUAAGCGUUUUUUAAUCUGUUUUUUCGAUUUUUAGGAUUUCUUUUGGUUUUCAAUUUUCAGGUGAGAGAGGUGGAGCUUUCAUUUUCUCUGCAAAAGCUCGUCAGGAGAAAGCUAGGGUUUCAAAAAUCAAAUCAAUCCUUAGCUUAGAUUAGCUCAAGAUUUAGAAUCGUCCAUAGAUGUUACGCAAUGAGUUUGAUUUAGAGUUCAUCCUUGAAUCGGUGAAGAAAACAAUUAUGGGUUUUUUCUUUGGGUGUUUUCGUGUUAAAGAUGAGAACCAAAAUCAUCAUAUCAUCUCUGUUUCUUCCAACAAAAAAAAUCCUUUGGCAUCUAGGAAUCGUCUAGCAGUGUUACACUUAUCUGAAUCUCAAGAUAGAACAGGUGUAGGUUGCAGCUGUAAUAAUGGAGGUGGAUUGGUAGUUUGUCCUAAUUUUGUUAUGAAGAAGCUGAAGUGUUUGGGUUCCAGUGAAUUAUGUCUUAGAUGAGGAUGAUUAUGAGUUACUGUGGGAUAACAAUGUGGGAUUUCACCGUCCUGCACCAUGCCAGGUGAUCCUUCUAUAGUUGGAAAAGAAACGGGCCAAGGCGAAUUCUAUAUUUGGGUCGAGUGAGGUGUCCUAGUAACUUUCAAGCUGAGAGCACUUUUUUUUUGGAGUUGUUUUCUUUCAAUACUUGUCAGGUGAUCCUUCUAUAUUUGUCCAAUGGUUUUGUAUAUGCAAUUAGCUUUUCUGUUCUUGGUGAUCCUAUAUGCAGUCUCACUUUCUUCAUCUAUCUCAACAAAGUUUCUGCAGGAUGUGGUGCUUACAUCACCUGCAAGCAAGAGAUGAUGCAGCCUAAUGCUAGCAUCAAAGACAGGUUCAUCUGGACUCAGUUUCCUUCAAAUUUGAUGAAUGCAUUACUGCUUGGGGAUGCAAUACAAGAUCUUCAUGAACCGAGAAGACACCUUCUUCAACUGCGUGGCAUGCUGUUUCAACAGGGACCAUGUUUACUGUCUGCUACAAACCAAGGAAGUAAUUAGGUGUGGAAGUGUUUGCGCGAAGUUGUAGCUGGGAUUAGGUAUACAGUUUUCUUAGUUACAGAAUAUGUUCAUGAUCUUUGUACUACACAGAAUUUGUAUUCCCUUAGGACUUAGGAAUGAACUUAUAGUGAUAUACGUGAGAAUGAACUAAACUUAGGAAGUUUCUAAGUAUUCCCUUAGAAAUUUUUUGGUACUUAGAAUUUGUUUUCUUUUUUUGAUAUGAAUAGAAUGUGUAUUGAUAUGAAUUGAAUGAGUAUUGAUGUGAAUCGAUUGAAGACACUAUUAUUGAACUUGGAUGAUGAACGGAUUGAAAGGAUUAUGCA